GUCGCAAUGGAGUGCUGUCCUCCCGGCUUUGGAGCCACGGGGCAUGGCCAAGUUCUAGGGGCUGAGAAGUCCAAGAUCAAGGUUCUGGCAAGAUAAAGACCCCCCCAAGAGAGAGGAAAUCAAAUCCCAUCUCGCUGGAAAACCUGAGUGCCUUCUGGGGUUCAGGGCAAGCCAGAUGGGCUCCCACCUAGUGAACAAGGCCCACCUCUCCUAAGCAGCCUGGGUAAGAACCCCCAAUUUCAGUCUCCCAUUUUGGGGUGGACACAAGACACUGGCCGGUUGGAGACCAGAUUAUGGGGCCUGUGGUCAUCUGAAAAAUGGUCUCUCCCAAAAUGUUCAUGUUCCAAUCCCCUAAAACCUGUGAAUGUUAUUUUAUAUGGCAGAGAUUUCACAGAUGGGAUUAAAUAAGGAUGUUAAGAUGGGGGAUUAUUUUGGAUUAUUUGGGUGGGCCCUAAAUGCAACUGUGUCUUUAUUGGAGAGAUGCCGGACGAGAUCAGACGCACAGAAGAGGAUGAGGCAGGUGGCCACAGAGGCAGAGACGAGUGAUGCAGCCACAGGCCAUGGAUGGUGGCACCCACCAGAAGCUGGAAGAUGCGGGGAGGGAUUAUUCCCUGGAGCCCCCGGGGGAGCAGAGCCCAGCUGGUGCCCUGAUUUGGGUCCGCGGAAAUUGACUUUGGGCUUCUGCCCUCUAGAACUAUGCGAGAAUAAAUCCCUGUUGUUUUUAAGCCA